GCCAGUGUGGCACAGUGGUUUGAGCAUUGGAUUAUGACUGUGGAGAUCAGGGUUCAAGUCCUGGCAUGGCCA